AUUGAACGCUGGCGGCAUGCCUUACACAUGCAAGUCGAACGGCAGCGCGGGGGCAACCCUGGCGGCGAGUGGCGAACGGGUGAGUAAUAUAUCGGAACGUACCCAAGAGUGGGGGAUAACGUAGCGAAAGUUACGCUAAUACCGCAUACGAUCUAAGGAUGAAAGUGGGGGACCGCAAGGCCUCACGCUCCUGGAGCGGCCGAUAUCUGAUUAGCUAGUUGGUGGGGUAAAGGCCUACCAAGGCAUCGAUCAGUAGCUGGCCUGAGAGGACGACCAGCCACACUGGGACUGAGACACGGCCCAGACUCCUACGGGAGGCAGCAGUGGGGAAUUUUGGACAAUGGGGGCAACCCUGAUCCAGCAAUGCCGCGUGAGUGAAGAAGGCCUUCGG
rnacentral:rRNA from 1 species